rnacentral:rRNA from 1 species
UGGGGAAUUUUGGACAAUGGGCGAAAGCCUGAUCCAGCAAUGCCGCGUGUGUGAAGAAGGCCUUCGGGUUGUAAAGCACUUUUGUCCGGAAAGAAAUCCUUGGCUCUAAUACAGUCGGGGGAUGACGGUACCGGAAGAAUAAGCACCGGCUAACUACGUGCCAGCAGCCGCGGUAAUACGUAGGGUGCAAGCGUUAAUCGGAAUUACUGGGCGUAAAGCGUGCGCAGGCGGUUUGCUAAGACCGAUGUGAAAUCCCCGGGCUCAACCUGGGAACUGCAUCGGUGACUGGCAGGCUAGAGUAUGGCAGAGGGGGGUAGAAUUCCACGUGUAGCAGUGAAAUGCGUAGAGAUGUGGAGGAAUACCGAUGGCGAAGGCAGCCCCCUGGGCCAAUACUGACGCUCAUGCACGAAAGCGUGGGGAGCAAACAGGAUUAGAUACCCUGGUAGUCCACGCCCUAAACGAUGUCAACUAGUUGUUGGGGAUUCAUUUCCUUAGUAACGUAGCUAACGCGUGAAGUUGACCGCCUGGGGAGUACGGUCGCAAGAUUAAAACUUAAAUGAAUUGACGGGGUCAUAGCUGUUUCCU